rnacentral:rRNA from 1 species
CAGCAGCCGCGGGAAAACGGAGGGUGCAAGCGUUAAUCGGAAUUACUGGGCGUAAAGCGCACGCAGGCGGUCUGACAAGUCAGAUGUGAAAUCCCCGGGCUUAACCUGGGAACUGCAUUUGAAACUGUCAGGCUGGAGUCUUGUAGAGGGGGGUGGAAUUCCAGGUGUAGCGGUGAAAUGCGUAGAGAUCUGGAGGAAUACCGGUGGCGAAGGCGGCCCCCUGGACAAAGACUGACGCUCAGGUGCGAAAGCGUGGGGAGCAAACAGGAUUAGAUACCCGAGUAGUCCCUGUCUCUUAUAA